UUAGUAUGAGAUACUAUGCAUUAUUGUCUAUAUAUAUAUGCAUAUAGGAUGCUAUAAUAUAUAUAUGCAAGACAAAAUAAUUAUAAGAAAAUAGAAAAUAAAUUAUUUUAUUUUAGUCUUUAAAUCAGAUUUAAAUGACUAUAUAAAAUAAUUUUAUUAUUUUGUUAUACAUUAGUAUGAGAUACUAUGCUUGAUGGUUUAUAUAUGUAUGCAUAUUGGAUGUCAUAAUAUAUACACAUGCAAGACAAAAUAAUUAAAAUUAAAAUUGAACCCUCAUUUCAAAAUUUUAAGUUUUAAUGCCACCCAUAUAUUAAAAACCUAUCAAGACUAAGAUCACCAAAAUGCAGGUUUUGCCAAAGCAAAGUGCAUUAGGUUAUCCUAGUAAGGUAGGAUGAGUAAUGGUUACUCAUUUAUUUAAUUUUGGUUCAGCUUAAUUAGGCUAUCAAAACGGUUUUGGGCCUAAGGCAUUAGAUGGGGUAUAACAUGCAUUUGACAUAUGAUGUCAAUACCUCAUAAUUAAGAGUUACAUUAGAUGUAAUUGGUAAGGGGUUACCUACCUAAAUAACUUAAUUCUAAGCGUCAUGCCAAAGCUGACUUAGAAUUAGGUGAAAUAUGGAUCUUAGCCCACUAAAAUAUUAUUAUUUUGAGGGUUAUAUUUUAGUGGGAGAUUAUUAUCACCUCAAUAUUAAUUUGU
rnacentral:lncRNA from 1 species